AGGAGGAAGGAGCGAGAAGAGCCAGAGAUGGACUCCCUCUUGAUUCUUCUCAUCCUAUUGAGAAUUGUACCAGACAUCUCCGGCAUCCAGCUGACUCAGUCUGGCCCAGAAACGGUGAAGCCAGGAGCGUCCUUCAAACUGACCUGUGCAGUAUCCGGUGCUCAACUCAGUAGUUCUUACUGGAUCUGGGUCCGCCAGCCGCGGGGGAAAGGGCCGGUAUGGAUAGGACGUAUCUCACCCUCUGGUGGCACCGAGUAUUAUCCUUCAUUCAGUGGCCGAAUCAGCAUCACCAGGGACACCUCCAGGAACGAGUACUAUCUUCAACUGAGCUCCCUCACCGCUGCAGACAACGCGCUGUAUUACUGUGCGAGAGACACAGAGAGGAACGUCCCAGCAAAAACCACACUCAGACUCCACCAUCCCUGGGGGAAAUGA